rnacentral:rRNA from 1 species
UACGUAGGGUGCAAGCGUUGUCCGGAAUUAUUGGGCGUAAAGAGCUCGUAGGCGGUUUGUCGCGUCGAAUGUGAAAACCCGGGGCUCAACCCCGGGCCUGCAUUCGAUACGGGCAGACUAGAGUUCGGUAGGGGAGUCUGGAAUUCCUGGUGUAGCGGUGAAAUGCGCAGAUAUCAGGAGGAACACCGGUGGCGAAGGCGGGACUCUGGGCCGAUACUGACGCUGAGGCGCGAAAGCGUGGGUAGCAAACAGG